rnacentral:rRNA from 1 species
AACGAACGCUGGCGGCAUGCCUAACACAUGCAAGUCGAACGAGACCUUCGGGUCUUGUGGCGCACGGGUGCGUAACGCGUGGGGACCUGCCCUUAGGUUCGGAAUAACUCCCCGAAAGGGGUGCUAAUACCGGAUAGUGUCUUCGGACCAAAGAUUUAUCGCCUUUGGAUGGGCCCGCGUUGGAUUAGCUAGUUGGUAGGGUAAAAGCCUACCAAGGCGACGAUCCAUAGCUGGUCUGGGAGGAUGAUCAGCCACACUGGGACUGAGACACGGCCCAGACUCCUACGGGAGGCAGCAGUGGGGAAUAUUGGACAAUGGGCGAAAGCCUGAUCCAGCAAUGCCGCGUGAGUGAUGAAGGCCUUAGGGUUGUAAAGCUCUUUUACCCGGGAUGAUAAUGACAGUACCGGGAGAAUAAGCUCCGGCUAACUCCGUG